CGAAGGCCCAGCUCGCCGCGGCCCAGCCGUCGGUACAGGUGCGGCUGCAAGACCUCGCGAACGUUCUGUGCACCUGCUGCUCACCAGGACCACUUUGAUGAUAAGAUGCUUCUCGUAGGCGCUCUCCAGCCGGAAGAGCGUGGACCAGAUGACGUUGAACAGCGCGAAGACCACGCAGGACACGUCACGGCUUGUCUGUGUGCAUGUGGGGGACGGGGAGGUCACGGGUCCGUGAAGAAGGGGUGCCGUGGGGGUGCUGGCGGGUCCGUCCUGACCACCGCCCCAGUACCUGAUCCGCCUCGGUGAACGUGUAGAGGACAGAG